rnacentral:rRNA from 1 species
AGUCGAGCGGUAGAGGGGAGCUUGCUUCCCUUGAGAGCGGCGGACGGGUGAGUAAUACCUGGGAAUCUGCCUGGUAGUGGGGGAUAACGUUCGGAAACGGACGCUAAUACCGCAUACGUCCUACGGGAGAAAGCAGGGGAUCUUCGGACCUUGCGCUAUCAGAUGAGCCCAGGUCGGAUUAGCUAGUAGGUGGGGUAAAGGCUCACCUAGGCGACGAUCCGUAACUGGUCUGAGAGGAUGAUCAGUCACACUGGAACUGAGACACGGUCCAGACUCCUACGGGAGGCAGCAGUGGGGAAUAUUGGACAAUGGGCGCAAGCCUGAUCCAGCCAUGCCGCGUGUGUGAAGAAGGUCUUCGGAUUGUAAAGCACUUUAAGUUGGGAGGAAGGGCUGUAGAUUAAUACUCUGCAGUUUUGACGUUACCGACAGAAUAAGCACCGGCUAACUCUGUGCCAGCAGCCGCGGUAAUACAGAGGGUGCAAGCGUUAAUCGGAAUUACUGGGCGUAAAGCGCGCGUAGGUGGCUAAGUAAGAUGGGUGUGAAAUCCCCGGGCUCAACCUGGGAACUGCAUCCAUAACUGCUUGGCUAGAGUACGGUAGAGGGUAGUGGAAUUUCCUGUGUAGCGGUGAAAUGCGUAGAUAUAGGAAGGAACACCAGUGGCGAAGGCGACUACCUGGACUGAUACUGACACUGAGGUGCGAAAGCGUGGGGAGCAAACAGGAUUAGAUACCCUGGUAGUCCACGCCGUAAACGAUGUCAACUAGCCGUUGGGAACCUUGAGUUCUUAGUGGCGCAGCUAACGCACUAAGUUGACCGCCUGGGGAGUACGGUCG